rnacentral:misc_RNA from 1 species
UCAACUUCUUGAGAGACAGAAAGCACAUGUUCAACAAUUCUUGGCUACUGAAGAUGCAUUGAAUAAAGCUGCAGAAGCGAGAAAGAUGAGCCAACAACUUUUAAAGCGUCUCCAAGGAACUGAUGAUGCAAUCUCUACACACUCACUAGCAAUUGGAGGAACAUCAAAGAGUAUGAGCAGCCUCAAGCAACUUGAGUUGGAGGUCUGGACAAAGGAAAGAG